CUCUACGGCCAUACCACCAUGAAUGUGCCCGAUCUCGUCUGAUCUCGGAAGCUAAGCAGGGUCGGGCCUGGUUAGUACUUGGAUGGGAGAAUGUGACCUGUCAGUCUAGUUGAGU
ensembl:rRNA 5S_rRNA 5S ribosomal RNA